CACGGGGGGAGCAAGCGUUGUUCGGAAUCACUGGGCGUAAAGGGCGUGUAGGCGGUCAAGUAAGUGGGACGUGAAAUGCUCCGGCUCACCCGGAGACCUGCAUCUCAAACUGCUUGGCUUGAGUACGGGAGAGGAUGAGGGAAUUCCUGGUGUAGCGGUGAAAUGCGUAGAUAUCAGGAGGAACACCGGUGGCGAAGGCGCUCAUCUGGCCCGAUACUGACGCUGAGGCGCGAAAGCUAGGGGAGCAAACGGG
rnacentral:rRNA from 1 species